GAUGAACGCUGGCGGCGUGCCUAAUACAUGCAAGUCGAGCGAACAGAUGAGGAGCUUGCUCCUCUGACGUUAGCGGCGGACGGGUGAGUAACACGUGGAUAACCUACCUAUAAGACUGGGAUAACUUCGGGAAACCGGAGCUAAUACCGGAUAAUAUAUUGAACCGCAUGGUUCAAUAGUGAAAGACGGUUUUGCUGUCACUUAUAGAUGGAUCCGCGCCGCAUUAGCUGGUUGGUAAGGUAACGGCUUACCAAGGCAACGAUGCGUAGCCGACCUGAGAGGGUGAUCGGCCACACUGGAACUGAGACACGGUCCAGACUCCUACGGGAGGCAGCAGUAGGGAAUCUUCCGCAAAGGGCGAAAGCCUGACGGAGCAACGCCGCGUGAGUGAUGAAGGUCUUCGGAUCGUAAAACUCUGUUAUUAGGGAAGAACAAAUGUGUAAGUAACUAUGCACGUCUUGACGGUACCUAAUCAGAAAGCCACGGCUAACUACGUG
rnacentral:rRNA from 1 species